GAGAAAAUAGGCGUCAUGUUUGCUAUUUAUGAUCCCUGAGCUAGAUGAUUUUAAAUCCCUUUUGGCUUUAAGAUUCAAUGAGAACAUAGCCAACCAGAAAGAAACUAAAGGCUGCUACUAGGUAAUCAGCUUGAGUGUGUGGCAUGAGAUAUGUGGCCUGGGAGAAAUGAAAGGAAACUGCGACAAAGUACGAGCCUUUGGUCUGGCUACCCACAUCAUUUUCAAGAAACAUUACCUCCAUGGAGUGCUGUUUUCCCAAAGCUUAGGACAAAGGGAGAUUGAACCAGAAAAUAAGAGUAGUUAGAGAACUGUUUUUAUAUGUGUAUUUCUGGAGACAA